UUUUAAUACCAUAUUUGUUAUCCCAAUUUUUUCCAAUUCUCGAUGCACGCCCUUCCAUACAUUUCUGUUUUCCCAAUUAAUUUUUCUGCACGUACAAUGCACCGCUUUUCCAUAUUCUUCUCUCAAAUUUGGUUUUUGCAAUCAAACCCUGAAUGUUCAAUCAAACCGUAAAUGUUCGGCCGCUGGUGAUGUAUUCCAUUCACAUGCAAAUUAUUGAAUGCUGGUUUCUCAUCUCCCAAAAUCCAAUCACUGCAUCAUCAAUGAUAGUUUGAAGGUUAGUUCUUUCAACUUUUUCUAUUUCUUCCUAUAAAUAUGACAUAUUUCAUCUCCCAUUCAUAAUCUCCUUUGAACCUUCACGAUUUUGUGUUAUUUUCCUAUGGCUGCCGCAACCCGCAAUUUUGUUUCUGAAAUCACACCAACGAAAGAGUCAUGAAAUGUUGUUGUUCGAGUUAUUCGAUUGUGGUUUGUGCCGGACAUGAAUUCGAAACAGAAGUUUUAUGCUAUGGAGAUGGUUCUAAUGGAUGAGAAGGGUUUCAAGAUUCAAGCUUCUGUUCGUGCUGUGGAAAUGACUGAAAUAAUUGAGAGGCUAAGUACUAAAUUGUAAGAGAGUCUUUUGUGUUAGAGGUGCACGCAUAUGCCUGAAUGGAUCUAUACACAGUGAUAUGUUUUACUUGAUUCAAGCUGCCUGAAUGGAUCUACACACAAUGAUCUAUUUUAUUUGGUUCAGAUGAAGCUGUUAAUUCCACUAAGCUGCAGAAUUGCUCAUAAUAAUCAAAUGUUAGGUUGAGAUAUUUUGCCAUAUAGUUGCUUGAGUAUGGUAAUAUGCAAUUUUUAGUAUGUACUUAGUCAUAACUAAACAGAAUAUUGGUUCAGUUGAAAUCUGCAAUUUUUAGUGUGUACUUAGGCAUAACUAAAUAAAAUAUUUGUUCAGCUUAAAAGAAUAAGAACAAAAUUGUUAAGGCAGUAAUUAAUUUUAUAA